UUCACUUUCACGGCUUUCAAUGCAGUUAAGUUCAAGAGAACUAUAGUUUGGUGAUAUGGAUCCCAAACGGAAGGGAACAGCAGCGGUUUGUAGUUGUAGAGAACUAAUUAGCGCUAAGAGUUGUUAAAGGGACAGUUUGGUCAAUUUCAACAUGCAGUUGUAAUGCUCACACUACCCUGGACUUGUCAGUGCCUGAGAUUUUUUUUCUUCUUCUUCAGCUGUUUCCGAGAUCCUGGUCAUUGUAAUGGGGGCAACUCUUUGUUUACAUUUCAAAAAAACAUUUUUAUUUAUUCCCAAAAACAUCCAAAAGGUUAUAAAACAUCAGCAGACAACUAGCAAACAGCAGUACCUUUUGGGAAAAUAUUUGGAGUUGGCCUAGGUUUCAUUUUUUAAAAAUGUAAACAAACGCUGCCCCCAUUAGAAUUGCUCAUAUCUCGGAAAGGGCUGAGCCGAAAAAUGUGCCAUCACCAGGUACUGACAAGUCAAGGGUAGCGUGAGCAAUACAACUGCAUGUUGAAAUUGACCAAACUGUCCCUUUAACCUGUUGUUUCUUGUUUACCUGUCACAGUAGCCCAUAGCACUUUUGUCAUAGAGAGCAACUUGGUCAGUAAAUAUCUGCCUGCUGUAUAAAGUAGCAGUAUUUGGAUAAGUUACAGCUAACACGGACGGCGAACUUUAGACUGUAUAUUGUGUGUUUGACAGAUUUCUGACAGCGACAGCGAUGGUGAGGGAAGCAGUGUACCGAACUCUCAGAUGACUCGGACCAGGUGACCAAACCCAUGCAAAACACAAUGGAGAUUAACAAGAGGCUGGAUGCUGCGUCCAUCACCAGAGGGGCCGGGAUUGCUGCGGCAGCUAGCCAAUUAAAGGAGGAGGAUGAAGGAGAGGAGUCUGACGAUGCAGACAUCGCCAUCGUAUGCAGGCCACGCCCUCGCAGGAAAACCAGCCAAUGAAAACGCUCGCAGCAGCAUCAGCAGAACACACCGGCACGACUGACAGAGCUUCUGAAGCAUGCAGUGGAAGAGCUGUCAGUCAAGCUAAAGGUCCCGCCCUCCAACCUGCUGCUGCUGCACGGAGAGGCGGAACUUAACACCUCACACACUAUUGGCCAGCUAGGACUCUGCAUCGCUGACAUCAUUGUCUGGAACCAACUUCACAUCCCUCUUCACUGCACUACUGACACUGAGAUGGAAUCCACAACCCAACCACUAGUGGUCUGCAUUGGGAACCUGAAGAGUCUGUCAUCACCACCAGGAAUGACCGCGUGACCAUUCCCGUUGCAGACGGCCUGACUUGCACAAUUGACAAGCUGUUCAAGCUUUACUGGGUCUGCAACUUGUCAUAUCCAGCACAGCUCAGCUCUGUUUUCACCUUCUUUGAAUAUGUUUAUGACGUUCCAUCUCAACCAACA